rnacentral:rRNA from 1 species
UGAGUAACACGUGGGUAACCUGCCCAUAAGACUGGGAUAACUCCGGGAAACCGGGGCUAAUACCGGAUAACAUUUUGAACCGCAUGGUUCGAAAUUGAAAGGCGGCUUCGGCUGUCACUUAUGGAUGGACCCGCGUCGCAUUAGCUAGUUGGUGAGGUAACGGCGCACCAAGGCAACGAUGCGUAGCCGACCUGAGAGGGUGAUCGGCCACACUGGGACUGAGACACGGCCCAGACUCCUACGGGAGGCAGCAGUAGGGAAUCUUCCGCAAUGGACGAAAGUCUGACGGAGCAACGCCGCGUGAGUGAUGAAGGCUUUCGGGUCGUAAAACUCUGUUGUUAGGGAAGAACAAGUGCUAGUUGAAUAAGCUGGCACCUUGACGGUACCUAACCAGAGAGCCACGGCUAACUACGUGCCAGCAGCCGCGGUAAUACGUAGGUGGCAAGCGUUAUCCGGAAUUAUUGGGCGUAAAGCGCGCGCAGGU